rnacentral:rRNA from 1 species
GUUUUUUUUUUUUAUAUUUUGGUAUUGCAUACUAGUAGAGUAGUAUGUCAUUUUUAUGAACAAUAGAAAUAAAUUGUUUAAGAUUGGAUUUUUUUUGUUUUUACGAAAUUGAGUAUAUCUGGUUUGGUUAUUGAUAAAACGUAUUUUUAUUUCUGUUUUUUAUUUUUUAUUGUUUAAGUUAUAGUUUGUUGAAUUUAGGUUUUGAUUUAUUUAUUUUAUUGAUGUUUUAGUUGUUUUUAUAUUUUUUGUUGUUUAUUUUUUUUUUUUUGUGGUUAAGUUUGUAACCAUUUUAUAAUUUUUACUUUAGUAAAAUUAUUUUUAUUGAAUUUUUGGUUUUAAAUUUAGUUUUUGAACUAAAUUUGUUGUUAAAUGUUUAUUAAAAACUUAGGUUUUUUUUUAAAGUUGUCUUCUGCUCAAUGAGUAUUUAAAUGGCAGCCUUAGCGUGAUGGCAUAAAAGUAGCGUAAGUGAUUUGUUUUUUUAAUGUUUUCAAGUAUGAAUGAAGUUUUUAGCAAUUUUUUUGUUGUCUUUUUUUUUGAAUUAUUUUUUUUAUUAAAAAUUAUGAAUUUUGGUAUUACAAAGAUAAGUCUUCGGAAAUUUUUUUUUAGGAUUGCUAUUUUUUGUUUUUUAAAUUUUUCUUGGGGAUGGAUUUUAGAAAAUUUUUUUUACUAUUUAUAUUUUUAAAAAUUACUCCGGAGUUAACAGGGUUGUGGACAUAUGAAUAGUUUUUAUAUUAUUAUGCUGCGCUACAUCGAUGUUGUAUAUUUUUUAGCAAGGGGGAGAGAAUUUUUUUAGUUUGAGACUGUUCUUCUUAUAUAAAAAUUAAACUUGAUAUUAGUUUAGUUCGUCGUGAGACAGAGCGGUUUAUCUUGUAUAUUUUUUUUUUUAUUGGUGCUAGUACGAAAGGAAAGUUAUGGAGGUUAAUAUUUAUGGCUUUUGUAUUUUUAUGGAUUUUUCU